rnacentral:rRNA from 1 species
UGGAUCCUACGGGGGGCAGCAGUGGGGGAUAUUGCACAAUGGGGGAAACCCUGAUGCAGCGACGCCGCGUGUAGGAAGACGGUCCUCUGGAUUGUAAACUACUGUCCCCAGGGACGAAGAUGACGGUACCUGGGGAGGAAGCUCCGGCUAACUACGUGCCAGCAGCCGCGGUAAUACGUGGGGAGCGAGCGUUGUCCGGAAUUACUGGGUGUAAAGGGAGCGUAGGCGGGGAUGCAAGUUGGGUGUUAAAUCUACCGGCUCAACUGGGA